CAGUCGCCACGGUAAUACGAAGGGGGCUAGCGUUGCUCGGAAUUACUGGGCGUAAAGGGCGCGUAGGCGGACAGUUCAGUCGGGGGUGAAAGCCCGGGGCUCAACCUCGGAAUUGCCUUCGAUACUGGCUGUCUUGAGUAUGAGAGAGGUGUGUGGAACUCCGAGUGUAGAGGUGAAAUUCGUAGAUAUUCGGAAGAACACCAGUGGCGAAGGCGACACACUGGCUCAUUACUGACGCUGAGGCGCGAAAGCGUGGGGAGCAAACAGGAUUAGAUACCCCGGUAGUCCCUGUCUCUUAUAC
rnacentral:rRNA from 1 species